CACUCUUUCGAGAGCGCUCAGGUGGCCACGCGCCCCCUCUAACGGUACUACGGAAUACCGCUUCCAAAAUAAGAUGCGGCUCAUAUUCCAGCGGUGGUUUACCACGGGCUGUUGAUACAAUGUGAUUGUAUAAAGCGUAUUUGUUAACCGUUUUUUAAUACGGUGGCGUUUGGCCACCCUCUUGCCUGAUGGUUAGCCAUAAUGAUGUGGCCAACGAUGGUGGCUGGAGCAUGCCUACCUAUCAACAACCUGUUCAUUCGAGACUUGACGACAUUGAUAAGGAAUUUAACUCCGAAGUGGAAGGAAUUGCCGAAGCGCCGCCGACCUUAACAGGAAAAAGUUUUCGAAGAUGAAAAUAAAGUAGGGAGGCUGCUUCGUUGGUUGAAUAGUUCCAGGCUCGUCUGUUGGUCCAAAGGCGUAGCGUAGCUUGACGGGGUCCCGUAUAAAAAUUUGUUUGGGGGCCCUUACGAAAGGUAAAACAUUCUUCGAAGAAUUUUUUUUUACAUAAAAUAGGUACCUCCUCUGCCCAAAUUAUCAGACAAUGAUUAGGUACUUUAGUUUUUCCAAAAUUUCUGCCAUGGAAAAGAUUUCUCUAUUUCACGGUUUCUGCCAACCUUUAAACGCAUGUAUUUUAUGAUUACUAAAAUAAAAUAUAAAUUGAAAAGUUUUUAUAUUUUUCUUACACAAUACAACAUAACACACAUAUAAUUGAUACGGCAGAUACGGCGCUAGCUACGCCCCUGUGUUGGUCGUAGUUUACCUGGACU